GCCUGGCUAGCUCAGUCAGAAGAGCAUCGGGCUCUUAAUCCCAGGGUCAUGGGUUCAAGCCCCACAUUGGGUA
rnacentral:tRNA from 1 species